AGAGUUUGAUCCUGGCUCAGGAUGAACGCUAGCUACAGGCUUAACACAUGCAAGUCGAGGGGCAGCAUGAAAGGAACUUCGGUUCUUUUUGAUGGCGACCGGCGCACGGGUGCGUAACGCGUAUCGAACCUGCCUCAUACUCGGGGAUAGCCUUGCGAAAGUAAGAUUAAUACCCGGCGGUCUCGGAUGGCCGCAUGACUAUCCGAGUGAAGAUUUAUCGGUAUGAGAUGGCGAUGCGUCCCAUUAGCUAGUUGGUGAGGUAAUGGCUCACCAAGGCAUCGAUGGGUAGGGGUUCUGAGAGGAAGGUCCCCCACAUUGGAACUGAGACACGGUCCAAACUCCUACGGGAGGCAGCAGUGAGGAAUAUUGGUCAAUGGACGAAAGUCUGAACCAGCCAAGUAGCGUGCAGGAAGACGGCCCUCUGGGUUGUAAACUGCUUUUAGUUGGGAAUAAAAAGAGGGACGUGUCCCUUAUUGUAUGUACCAUCAGAAAAAGGACCGGCUAAUUCCGUGCCAGCAGCCGCGGUAAUACGGAAGGUCCAGGCGUUAUCCGGAUUUAUUGGGUUUAAAGGGAGCGCAGGCGGCGGCGUAAGUCAGUUGUGAAAUCGUGCGGCUUAACCGUGCAAUUGCAGUUGAUACUGCGUCGCUUGAGUGCACACAGGGAUGUUGGAAUUCAUGGUGUAGCGGUGAAAUGCUUAGAUAUCAUGAAGAACUCCGAUCGCGAAGGCAUAUGUCCGGAGUGCAACUGACGCUGAGGCUCGAAAGUGUGGGUAUCAAACAGGAUUAGAUACCCUGGUAGUCCACACAGUAAACGAUGAAUACUCGCGGUUGGUUCGUUAGAGUCAGCCGCCAAGCGAAAGCGUUAAGUAUUCCACCUGGGGAGUACGCCGGCAACGGUGAAACUCAAAGGAAUUGACGGGGGCCCGCACAAGCGGAGGAACAUGUGGUUUAA
rnacentral:rRNA from 1 species